CAGUUAUUAGAUGUUGCCAGCGCUUAAUUGCGCGGCGGCAGAUAAUCUUACACACAGUGUUUUUUGUUAUUACAAGAACUAUUGCUUCGGCUUGGCCGACAGGCUGGGCCGGAGACUACUGAAACUUCAAUUUUAUUGAAUUGUUUUUUAACGUUUUGUCAAUUUGUUUGAUUAAAUUCAAAAUAAUCUUCA
rnacentral:misc_RNA from 1 species